UACGAAGGGGCUAGCGUUGUCCGGAAUCAUUGGGCGUAAAGCGCGUGUAGGCGGCCCGGUAAGUCGGUUGUGAAAGUCGGGGGCUCAACCCUCGGAUGCCGAUCGAUACUGUCGGGCUAGAGUCCGGAAGAGGCGAGUGGAAUUCCUGGUGUAGCGGUGAAAUGCGUUGAGAUCGGAAGGAACGCCCGUGGCGAAAGCGAGCUCCUGGACGUUUUCUGACGCUGAGACGCGAAAGCCAGGGGAGCGAA
rnacentral:rRNA from 1 species